rnacentral:rRNA from 1 species
GCGGGGCGGUCGCUGGAAGGAGUGCGUAAACUAGACCCAGAACCAGCGCAUUUUUGUACCUGGUGACUCAUGGUUUCCAUUCGAACCGCGCUAGUGGGCGGGGCCUUUGCGCCCUGCCGAGCGGUGGGCCAAUCGAGGAUCUGAUCUAUCAUUUUGAACCGUAGGGUAUUGGCCUACGGUGAAGGUGACGGAUGACGAGGAAUUGGGGUUCGACGUCGGAGAGGACGCCUGAGAAACGGCGACCACAUCUAAGGAAGGCAGCAGGCGCGAAAAUUACACACUCUCAACACGAGGAUGUAGUGACAAGAUUUGACAAAACCACGCCUUUUCAGGUGUGGUUAUUGGAAUGAGAGCAACCUAAACAACUCAUCGAAAGCGAUUGGAGGGAAAGUCUGGUGCCAGCAGCCGCGGUGAUUCCAGCUCCAAGGGCGUAUAUUAACGUUGCUGCAGUUAAAACGCUCCUCGUUGAAGGUCUGGCGUGGUUGCGGGGGCGUGUCCCCUCGUUCGUUUUGCGAGCGAGGUUUUGGUACCGCCAAUUUUUACCCGCGCCUGCCAUCUGUGUGCGGUCCGGCCUCUCUGAGGCGGGGGCGCACACCAGUUACUUUGAGAAAAUUGGAGUGUUCAAAACAGGCUACUUUCAUACAGCCAUUGGACAUAAUUAGCAUGGAAUGACGGGAUAGGACUUUGGGUCCACUUUUUGCGUUGGUUUCAGGGCUCAGAUUAAUGAUUCUUAUGGUCGGUCUGGGGGUGCUGAUACUGCUCGAGGAGAGGUGAAAUUUUCGGAUUCGAGCAUGAUCAACUAAUGCGAAAGCAUUCGCCAAAUCCGUCCCAUUUAAUCAAGAACGAUAGUAGGGGGAGCGAAGAUGAUCAGAUACCGUCGUAGUCCCUGACCGUAAACGAUGCCGUCCAAGAAUCAGCACCCGUUGCGAGUUUUCACUAUUUCGUCUGCUUCUCUUCGGAGGGCGGGCGGAACGAAGCUCACCUUGACUGUGCUGGCGCUUUGUGAGAAAUCAUAAGACUUUGGGUUCUGGGGGGAGUAUGGUCGCAAGACUGAAACUUAAAGAAAUUGACGGAAGGGUACCACCAGGAGUGGAGCCUGCGGCUUAAUUUGACCCAACACGGGAAACCUUACCAGGUCCAGACAUAGCGAGGAUUGACAGAUUGAAGAUCUUUCUUGAUUCUAUGACAGGUGGUGCAUGGCCGCUUUUAGUUGGUGGAUUGAUUUGUCUGGUUUAUUCCGUUAACGAACGAGACCUCGACUUGUUAACGUAGUGUGGGGGAGCCCCUCCCAAUC